CCUCCUCCAACUUUCAACCCCAAUUUUCUUCCCACCCCCUCCUUUCUCUCUCUCUCUCUCUCUCUCUCUCUCUUCUUUUUUUUUUCUUUAUAUUUUCUUCUCUUUUCCAUCCUCCAUGAUUUUAAAACCCCAAGAAAGAGACCUCUCCUCCCCCAAAGUCCCUGUGAUUGGAAUGAGCUACUACUAUUCUUAUUAGUGUAUACUCUCUCUCUCUCUCUCUCUCUCUCUCUACAUCCCCACACACACUCCUCCCUACUGCUCCUACCAAGCACCAAUCUCUCAUUCCUCCCCAGAUCAGAACAAAAACCUCAUUUUUUUUUUUUUUAAGCCCUCUCCUUUUUCCCCUGAGAAUCCCAUCCUGAGUUGUCCUUGUCUCCCUUGGGCCCCCUUUGCUGCUUGGACAUCCUCCAUGGGAUUCAAGAUCCAGGGGCUCACAGCAGGCUUGGAUGGUCUGCAAGAGGUUUGGGACUGAAUCUUGAUCUCCUGCUGCGCACGCCAAGUGUUUGUGGGAAUGAUUCACCGGGAAAUUGUGGGUAAAGGUGGGGUUUUUGCAUUUGGGUAUGUGGGAAUUUUGAUCUUGUAGCUAGCUGCUUUGGAUUGCUUCCUAUGAUGCAAUCUCUUGAGAAAAGGAGGUGCCUUUGGGUUGAGGGAGUUCUUGGGUUCCUGCUGUUCCAGCUCCUCCCCAGAGCUGUGGGGACUCUCCGCCCCGUAAAUAUUCGAUUUUUAUUGUUGAUAUUGUUGCUGUUGUUGCUGUUGUUGUUUAUGUUCUGUUAGAGGGAAGGGGUGAUGGGCAAUAGCACUUCUCGAGUCGUCGGCUGCUUCACACCGUUCGGUAAUGGCAAAUCCGGCGUGAAUUUGGACUUUCUCGAGCCCCUGGAUGAAGGGUUGGGCCAUUCCUUCUGUUACGUGAGGCCGGUGAUCGCCGAAUCCCCGGCUAUAACCCCGUCGAACUCCGAGAGGUACACGCUGGAUUCGAGCACCCUCGAUUCCGAGACGCACAGCGGCUCCUUUAGACAGGAGAUUGUCGAAGAGUUGGCCGGACUGCAGAGGCCCAAUAUCAAGAAUUACGCGGAAACUACUUUUAAGACCAUAUCAGGAGCCUCGGUGAGUGCAAAUGCGUCGACCGCUCGAACUGGCACUCCGAAUGUAUUAUACUCGGGCGAAGCACAAGAGCCUGCCGCUUCUUUCGAGAGCACGGCUUCUUUCGCGGCGGUCCCUCUACAGCCGGUGCCGCGCGGCUCGGGACCGCUCAAUGGGUUCAUGUCAGGACCUCUCGAAAGGGGUUUUGCUUCGGGGCCUUUGGAAAAGGGGGCAGGGUUCAUGUCGGGCCCGUUAGAUAAGGGCGUUUUCAUGUCUGGGCCGUUAGAUAAUAGUGAUAGGAACGACUUCUCAGCUCCGCUUGCGUACGCGCGGCCGAGGGCGGGGCUGGGCCGGCUUGUUAGGAGUAUGAGUAGACCGAUGAGAAGCGCGCUCUCGAGAACGUUUACAAGAAGAUGGACGCACUCUAAAGAGGCAAAGUAUCGAUCUGAAGCUCCGAGAAAUUGUAUGGAUGUUGGUGGAUCUGAAGCUCCGGUGUAUGGGAGCUCGCGCAACUUGCAAUGGGCUCAUGGAAAGGCGGGAGAAGAUAGGGUUCAUAUUGUGCUAUCGGAAGAGCAAGGAUGGUUGUUUGUUGGCAUUUACGAUGGUUUCAGCGGACCCGAUGCGCCAGACUUUCUGAUGAGUAAUCUUUAUAAGGCUAUAGAUAAAGAAUUGGAAGGGCUGUUGUGGGAUUAUGAAGACAAGCCCGGAAAGGCUGCUCCUGCAUCUGAUCUUCCUGAUACGGAUUCUACUGGGGCUUCUUCGGAUAUUUUAAAAGGAAAUAGUGCUACUGCUGAGCUGCAGAAUGAUAUCUUGGAAAAGCAAAGCGAAAAUUCUCAGUCACAUGAUGCAUCUGUUGAAACCCAAAGUAAGAUCGAGUCGAAGGAAGAUGACGGCGAGCAGGGGAUUACUACGGGGACGAGUUUGGGCAAUGAAAAAGUCGAAGGUGAUGAAAUUGUAGAGGAGAAAGAGGGACCCGAGGAAGGAGAUGAGCUGCAAAGUGAAAAUAGCCAAGGCUUGAGAAACACCAAUGUGGCCGCAGAAGGACCAGCUGAUGUGCCAGAAGGCAACACAUCUACUACUACAGAUGCCAAAGAAUCAAAGCAAUGCAGAAAAUGCAAGCGCCUCUACGAGCUUCUUCAGAUGGAACUACUGGAAGAGAUGGAGAGAAAUGUUGGCACAAAGAGGAGCUCAUGGGACCUUCAAUCAAGCGCCAGCGAAGACUUGUCUACCAGACAAAGCAUGUUGGUGGCGCAGCCUUCCUUGUGCUCUUCCAGUUCCAAAGCUGAAAGUUCAGUUGAAGAGGCUGGAAGUUUGAGACAAAGUGAGGGCGUCUCACGGGUGGAUUCAAAGGAAUGGAAGCACUUUUCUGCUUCAGGGGGGCAGAAGCAGCUACUUAGAAGAGCACUCUUAGGCUCCAAGCUGAGAAAAAUGUAUCGGAAGCAGAAGUCACUGCGGAAAAAGCUCUUUCCUUGGAGUUAUGAUUGGCACAGAGAUGAACCGAACGCUGAUGAGAGAACAAUCAGGCCAUCUUCUGCAGUCAUUAGGAGAUGCAAGUCAGGCCCAGUGGAUCAUGAUGAGGUUCUCAAAGCGAUGACGCGCGCGCUAGAAGCGACAGAGGAGUCUUACAUGGAAAUGGUAGAAAAAGCUCUUGACAAGAAUCCUGAGCUUGCAUUAAUGGGCUCAUGCGUUCUUGUGAUGUUGAUGAAGGAUCAGGAUGUUUACGUGAUGAAUUUAGGGGAUAGUAGAAUUAUAUUGGCACAGGAUAGGCUGAACAAUGAUGAUAUGAGGCACAGGAACAGGUCAAGGGAGUCCCUUGUCCGCAUGGAGCUGGAUAGGAUAUCGGAGGAGUCUCCUAUACAUAAUCCCAAUAGCCUCAUCUCCAACGUUAACAAGAAGAGGGAGCUUUCUCUUUGCAGAUUGAAAAUGAGAGCCGCGCAGCUGUCGACUGAUCAUAGCACCAGCAUUGAGGAGGAAGUUUCAAGGAUUAAAGCGGAACAUGUAGAUGAUCCUCAAGCUAUCUUGAAUGAUAGAGUAAAAGGACAGUUGAAGGUCACAAGAGCAUUUGGUGCAGGGUUUCUGAAAAAGCCGAAGUUCAAUGAAGCUCUGCUUGAGAUGUUUCGGAUUGAUUACAUUGGGACAUCACCAUAUGUUAGCUGCAUUCCCUCAGUCGUUCAUCAUCGUCUGUGCUCGAGCGAUCAUUUUCUGGUCCUGUCUUCUGACGGACUCUACCAGUAUUUUAGCAACGAAGAGGUCGUUUCGCAUGUUGCCUGGUUUAUGGAGAAUGUUCCGGAAGGGGACCCCGCUCAAUACCUCAUUGCUGAGCUCCUUUGUCGAGCAGCCAAAAGAAAUGGGAUGGAUUUUCAUGAGUUGCUAGAUAUUCCCCAUGGCGAUCGGAGAAAAUAUCACGAUGAUGUUUCUGUCAUGGUGGUUUCUCUCGAAGGAAGGAUUUGGCGCUCCUCUGGUUGAUUGUUUCAAUACUUACACGGGCCGCUGCCCUAAAAGCCCCUUGAUGUAAUGAAUUCCUUAUCAAGAAAGUGCAUUUUUGGCCAUCCAAUUGAUCGGCCGCUCGAGCUUUACCCCCGGUCACAAAUUAUAUAGGUAAGUAUGGAGAUUCAUAUGGGAACUUUCACUGGUGUAAUCUGUAACUUUUUGAUAAUAUAUAUAAAUUUUGUUUGAGACCAAAUUUUGAUCCUUGUGAACAGAAAUUUUGAAAUCUGCAGAGAUCCCCAUUGCAGUCCUGAGUAGCUGCAGACAUGUAAAUUGUUUUCAUUAGUUUCUUGUUCAGGCCAAAGAUUGAUUUUCCUCUCAUGAAAUUCAGAAAUUCAAACACCACUCUUCUGAAAAAAUCUGUCUGUGUUGACAACAGUAUCAUCUUGUUUGACAGAGUUAAUUAUUAUGUGGUGAUUAAUUUGUGCAUAGCAUGUCUUAAAGGGAGGCUGUUGCUAAUUA